AGCUCACAGGAGCCGAGCAAAGCUGCUCUUACUUACUCUUAGGCUGUGGGUUGAGGGGGCCAUUUCCUCUCCUGUACCCUGACUUUGGGUAGCACAGAGGACACUGAUUCCAGUGCCUCAGGAUUCUUCUGUUAUGCAAGUGAGGCAGGCUGUGUGAUGAGAUUCCGAGUGACAGGAGCUGUGGAGUGCUGGGGACUGUGGCAGGCUGAAGUGGGCCGACACAAUAGCAUGCCAGCACUUUUGCCCAGCAGAGAAUGGCAACAUAAACAACUGAAAAGUCACUGUGAAUUUUAUCCCAGAGAAAGCUAUGGAUGUGCUUGCUAGAAGAGAUUUGAUGUCUCCCUUCUGUCAAGACUGGAUCUUCUAUACUGAUCACUACUGCUACAAGAAGACUAAACUCUAGUGUGCAGGCACCAUAGUCGUUUGCCUGUACGGGCUGAGUUCUCAUCAGUAAAUAUUUCAUGUACCUGAUUACUCCACAGUGAGCAACAACGUGAAAACAUAAUCUUGGAGAUGGCUACAGGGUUAGAAGAUCCAGCCUGUUCAUCUCCGUCUCUGUACAUUUUUAAGCCUAGAACACAUUUUACUGAAUCUGACUGAGCCUCCACCCUGACAAUUUUGCCCAUGAAGUGAGUCAGGGGCUCCACCAACCUGUCAGACUAGCAGUGGUCAGUGCUUUUCAUUGGACCUUGAAGGCAGAAAUUUUUCCGCCGGUGUCUCUGCCUCCACUAAGCCCUUCUGGGACAGCCAACAGAACAGCAUUUGCAGGCAGUCUCUAGCAGCCUUCCCUAUAGCUCUCUCUAUGACUUCAUUUCUUGUCGUUUGCAUUUUGCAUGUAAGCUAUUAUCAUUAACAUUUAUUACUGACCAAAGGCCACCAACUUGGAGAUGCUGUUAUUGCCCUGGUCCCCCGUGGCUCAUAGUGAGCCACAGAUCAACAGUUCCUGCAUCAUUCAGGAGCUUGUUAGAAAGGUUGUAUUCAGGCCAAGACCCACUGGAUCAGAAUGCGCUUGUUAGCAAGAAAGCCUAGAAUGCUCCUACAUACAUGUGUAUGGAGGCACUGCCAUCUAGUCAGGCAUGUCCCCAAUUCCCUGAAAGGCCUCUUCCACCUUCUAUGCUCUAUUCCAAAGGACAGUGACUCCUAUUGUUUUGCAUGUGGUGAACAUUUUCCUACAACUCAAACCUAGGCAUGUGGCCAAACCAAAUGUGAAUUCACUUAGCGGGAAUCAUGGGACAGAAUAUUGGACAUUGAGUUUUGUCGUUACUAUAUUUAACUCCUAUUUCAUAACCAUUUUGCUUUCUCUGAGGAGGGUGGAGAAUUAUUUUAAAAUGGUCCACUGCUCCAUCCAAUUUUAUUUUAGUUACAGGGGCUACGUAGUUGAGAUUAAAAAAAAAAAUGUUUCUGCUAGAACAUUUCUUUUCCUU